UCCUCCCUCUGUCGGCGUGCCUAAUACAUGCAAGUUGAGCGAUGAAGAUUGGUGCUUGCACCAAUUUGAAGAGCAGCGAACGGGUGAGUAACGCGUGGGGAAUCUGCCUUUGAGCGGGGGACAACAUUUGGAAACGAAUGCUAAUACCGCAUAACAACUUUAAACAUAAGUUUUAAGUUUGAAAGAUGCAAUUGCAUCACUCAAAGAUGAUCCCGCGUUGUAUUAGCUAGUUGGUGAGGUAAAGGCUCACCAAGGCGAUGAUACAUAGCCGACCUGAGAGGGUGAUCGGCCACAUUGGGACUGAGACACGGCCCAAACUCCUACGGGAGGCAGCAGUAGGGAAUCUUCGGCAAUGGACGAAAGUCUGACCGAGCAACGCCGCGUGAGUGAAGAAGGUUUUCGGAUCGUAAAGCUCUGUUGGUAGAGAAGAACGUUGGUGAGAGUGGAAAGCUCAUCAAGUGACGGUAACUACCCAGAAAGGGACGGCUAACUACGUG
rnacentral:rRNA from 1 species